rnacentral:rRNA from 1 species
CCCUUAGAUGUUCUGGGCCGCACGCGCGCUACACUGACGACUUCAACGAGUUUUUUUCAUUUGAAAAAGUCCUUGGCCGGAAGGUCUGGGUAAUCUUUUAAAAGGUCGUCGUGAUGGGGCUAGAUUCUUGCAAUUAUUAAUCUCCAACGAGGAAUUCCUAGUAAACGCAAGUCAUCAACUUGCAUUGAUUACGUCCCUGCCCUUUGUACACACCGCCCGUCGCUCCUACCGAUUGAAUGUUCCGGUGAGCUCUUCGGACUGCGCGGUCUGCAGUUUCUGCGUUCCGUGCGGAAAGUUGCGCAAACCUUAUCAUUUAGAGGAAGGAGAAGUCGUAACA